rnacentral:rRNA from 1 species
UUAAGCGACUAAGCGUACACGGUGGAUGCCCUGGCAGUCAGAGGCGAUGAAGGACGUGCUAAUCUGCGAUAAGCGUCGGUGAGGUGAUAUGAACCGUUAUAACCGGCGAUUUCCGAAUGGGGAAACCCAGUGUGUUUCGACACACUAUCAUUAACUGAAUCCAUAGGUUAAUGAGGCGAACCGGGGGAACUGAAACAUCUAAGUACCCCGAGGAAAAGAAAUCAACCGAGAUUCCCCCAGUAGCGGCGAGCGAACGGGGAGGAGCCCAGAGCCUGAAUCAGUGUGUGUGUUAGUGGAAGCGUCUGGAAAGGCGUGCGAUACAGGGUGACAGCCCCGUACACAAAAAUGCACAUAUUGUGAGCUCGAUGAGUAGGGCGGGACACGUGGUAUCCUGUCUGAAUAUGGGGGGACCAUCCUCCAAGGCUAAAUACUCCUGACUGACCGAUAGUGAACCAGUACCGUGAGGGAAAGGCGAAAAGAACCCCGGCGAGGGGAGUGAAAAAGAACCUGAAACCGUGUACGUACAAGCAGUGGGAGCCUCUUAAUGGGGUGACUGCGUACCUUUUGUAUAAUGGGUCAGCGACUUAUAUUCUGUAGCAAGGUUAACCGAAUAGGGGAGCCGAAGGGAAACCGAGUCUUAACUGGGCGUUAAGUUGCAGGGUAUAGACCCGAAACCCGGUGAUCUAGCCAUGGGCAGGUUGAAGGUUGGGUAACACUAACUGGAGGACCGAACCGACUAAUGUUGAAAAAUUAGCGGAUGACUUGUGGCUGGGGGUGAAAGGCCAAUCAAACCGGGAGAUAGCUGGUUCUCCCCGAAAGCUAUUUAGGUAGCGCCUCGUGAAUUCAUCUCCGGGGGUAGAGCACUGUUUCGGCAAGGGGGUCAUCCCGACUUACCAACCCGAUGCAAACUGCGAAUACCGGAGAAUGUUAUCACGGGAGACACACGGCGGGUGCUAACGUCCGUCGUGAAGAGGGAAACAACCCAGACCGCCAGCUAAGGUCCCAAAGUCAUGGUUAAGUGGGAAACGAUGUGGGAAGGCCCAGACAGCCAGGAUGUUGGCUUAGAAGCAGCCAUCAUUUAAAGAAAGCGUAAUAGCUCACUGGUCGAGUCGGCCUGCGCGGAAGAUGUAACGGGGCUAAACCAUGCACCGAAGCUGCGGCAGCGACACUAUGUGUUGUUGGGUAGGGGAGCGUUCUGUAAGCCUGUGAAGGUGACCUGUGAGGGUUGCUGGAGGUAUCAGAAGUGCGAAUGCUGACAUAAGUAACGAUAAAGCGGGUGAAAAGCCCGCUCGCCGGAAGACCAAGGGUUCCUGUCCAACGUUAAUCGGGGCAGGGUGAGUCGACCCCUAAGGCGAGGCCGAAAGGCGUAGUCGAUGGGAAACAGGUUAAUAUUCCUGUACUUGGUGUUACUGCGAAGGGGGGACGGAGAAGGCUAUGUUGGCCGGGCGACGGUUGUCCCGGUUUAAGCGUGUAGGCUGGUUUUCCAGGCAAAUCCGGAAAACCAAGGCUGAGGCGUGAUGACGAGGCACUACGGUGCUGAAGCGACAAAUGCCCUGCUUCCAGGAAAAGCCUCUAAGCAUCAGGUAACAUCAAAUCGUACCCCAAACCGACACAGGUGGUCAGGUAGAGAAUACCAAGGCGCUUGAGAGAACUCGGGUGAAGGAACUAGGCAAAAUGGUGCCGUAACUUCGGGAGAAGGCACGCUGAUAUGUAGGUGAAGCGACUUGCUCGUGGAGCUGAAAUCAGUCGAAGAUACCAGCUGGCUGCAACUGUUUAUUAAAAACACAGCACUGUGCAAACACGAAAGUGGACGUAUACGGUGUGACGCCUGCCCGGUGCCGGAAGGUUAAUUGAUGGGGUUAGCGGUAACGCGAAGCUCUUGAUCGAAGCCCCGGUAAACGGCGGCCGUAACUAUAACGGUCCUAAGGUAGCGAAAUUCCUUGUCGGGUAAGUUCCGACCUGCACGAAUGGCGUAAUGAUGGCCAGGCUGUCUCCACCCGAGACUCAGUGAAAUUGAACUCGCUGUGAAGAUGCAGUGUACCCGCGGCAAGACGGAAAGACCCCGUGAACCUUUACUAUAGCUUGACACUGAACAUUGAGCCUUGAUGUGUAGGAUAGGUGGGAGGCUUUGAAGUGUGGACGCCAGUCUGCAUGGAGCCGACCUUGAAAUACCACCCUUUAAUGUUUGAUGUUCUAACGUUGGCCCGUAAUCCGGGUUGCGGACAGUGUCUGGUGGGUAGUUUGACUGGGGCGGUCUCCUCCUAAAGAGUAACGGAGGAGCACGAAGGUUGGCUAAUCCUGGUCGGACAUCAGGAGGUUAGUGCAAUGGCAUAAGCCAGCUUGACUGCGAGCGUGACGGCGCGAGCAGGUGCGAAAGCAGGUCAUAGUGAUCCGGUGGUUCUGAAUGGAAGGGCCAUCGCUCAACGGAUAAAAGGUACUCCGGGGAUAACAGGCUGAUACCGCCCAAGAGUUCAUAUCGACGGCGGUGUUUGGCACCUCGAUGUCGGCUCAUCACAUCCUGGGGCUGAAGUAGGUCCCAAGGGUAUGGCUGUUCGCCAUUUAAAGUGGUACGCGAGCUGGGUUUAGAACGUCGUGAGACAGUUCGGUCCCUAUCUGCCGUGG